rnacentral:rRNA from 1 species
UCUUUCUUUGCUGGCGACCGGCGCACGGGUGAGUAACACGUAUCCAACCUGCCCUUUACUCGGGGAUAGCCUUUCGAAAGAAAGAUUAAUACCCGAUAGUAUAAUGAUUCCGCAUGGUUUCAUUAUUAAAGGAUUCCGGUAAAGGAUGGGGAUGCGUUCCAUUAGGUUGUUGGUGAGGUAACGGCUCACCAAGCCUUCGAUGGAUAGGGGUUCUGAGAGGAAAGUCCCCCACAUUGGAACUGAGACACGGUCCAA